CCCCCACCCACCCACGAGCGCGGGCGCCGACGGGACCCCCGAGGGCCCCAGGCAGGCUGUGGCCAGGUCGCCGAGCACCAGGCGCUCCGGGGACCGGGCCGGGCCCAGGCGCUGACCCGGGCCGCUCGAGACCAGCCCUGGGCUCCGGGCCAGGAAUACGGUUCGACCAGAAAAACUGUUUAUGAACUGAUUUCCUGAGAUAACUGCAGAACUGGUAGCCCAGUGAUGACCAAAUCUGGAAGUCCUGGUUUCUGGACUCACACAGCAGUCCCCACCAGUAGCUGAAUCAGACCUCUCUUUGGGUUCUGGAUGGUGCCCAUGGGAGAGGUGAUCUUGGCUGCUUUGUUCCACCCCUGCCAUGUGCUGCCAAAAAGGCUUGGUGUUCCUGAGACCACAGCAGGCAUGUGACUUGGAAGGGCAUUGAAGUCUGCUACUUGAGGAAAAUGGGUAAAAUGCCUGGUCUUCAAGAACCUCAUAGUUCAGUGGGAAAAACAGAAACGAAAAGAAAUCAUCUCUGGACAAUGGUGUGCAAGCUGUGACCUGCUGCCUACUGUGUAGUGACUUCACGGGAGACAGGUGCCAUGGAAAUAGAACAUUAUUUAUCUCCAAUUUACUGCUAGGAGCACUUUAAGGGAUUUGCCCAAGGUCACACAGCCAGCUAGUAGCAGAGCCAUUAUGCUACCCAACCCCCGUGGCUGCACCAGAUAUGAAAGAAAUGCAGAGGCAUGAACUACAGUGUGGCAGGGCUCAGAUGGGGCUUCUCAGAGGAAACCCUUGUCCAGAGACUCAGAAGAGGAGGAGGUGGCCAGACGGGCCGGAUGGGGAAGGACACUGCAGGUAGAAGGCACAGGGAAGGCAAGAAAGGGGGUGUUGAAAGGCGGGGAGUGGUGAGUGGGGAGGCAGAGAAGAAAAUGAGCUCAGAGUCGGAGGUUGGGACUGGCGUGAGAAGGGUCCCAGGAUGUGGAUUACGGCUGGUCAAUUACUGCCAGUCUCAGAUCUUUAAAUUCUGAGGCACCAUUAAGAAGUAGGGCUUCCCUGAUGGCUCAGCAGGUAGAGAGUCUGCCUGCAAUGCAGGAAAUUUGAGUUCGAUUCCCAAGUCAAGAAGAGCCUCUGUAGGAGGAAAUGGCAACCACUCCAGUAUUCUUGCCUGGAGAAUUUCAUGAACGGGGGAGUCCAAGGGGUUACAGUCCAUGGGGGUCUCAGAGAGUCAGACACAGCUGAGCACACAUGCACACACAUCAAGAAGUAAAGAGAGGGACUUCCCUGAUGGCCAGUGGUUAAGACUCCGCGCUUCCAACAGGGCGCAUGGGUUUGAUCCCUGGUAGAGGAACAUGCCCUGUGGUGCAGCCAAAAAAAAAAAGAAGAAGAAGUAAAAGAAUCAGCAGUCUAUGUGCGUGUGUGUGAAGAAGACAUGCCCCUUUUCUACUGAGUCUUAAGAGGAAAAGGUAAAUAGAUAUUGGCUUAUAUGGAUUUACUCCCACAGAUGGGACUACUUGCUAAAGCAAGACUUUAUGAAUAAAAGGCGUAUAUAUUUGCAAGCACCACUGAUUGAUAUAAUAAUCUGUGGCACAGUAUUCCUGUCUUCAGGUUAUAGGUGUGUUCAUUUAUGUGCCCAGAGACACACUGACACAAAUCAGUGAUUAAAGCUCAAGCUCUCUUCUUACUUCAAGGCGGGUGAUGUUUCUUUUGGUUCAAAAAGCCAUCGCUGCUUCUGUAUGUUUCCUAUGACACUUUCAGAAGACUGGAAAAGCCGGGGGGGCGUCUGUGUGGACAAGUUAGGUGGCAAAACACCCCCCAAGAGCUCAAGGAUUUCUGAGUGUCCUUAGUGAUCCAGGACCACAUUGGCUGGCACCCUCUGACUACCUUAAUGAGGUGGAAGACCCAGAAACCCUCACUCUUGGCUUCCCAAACUCUCAAACUGCAAAGAUGACCUCCCUGACUUCCACUUUUUUUUUUUUUUAGCCGCACUGCAUAGCAUGCAGGAAUUUAGCUCCCCAGUGGAAACACGGAAUCUUAACCAGUGGACCACCAGAGAAGUCCCCACCUUCCUUUUGAAAAAGGCUCUUCCUUUGACCAAGAGCUUCCCUGGUGGCUCAGAUGGUAAUGGGAAGAUCCCCUGGAGAAGGAAAUGGCAACCCACUCCAAUACUCUCA
ensembl:lncRNA